GCCUGGGUGGCUCAGUCAGUUAAGCAUCUGACUUUGGCUCAGAUCAUGAUCUCACAGUUUGUGAGUUCAAGCCUUGCAUCGGGCU
rfam:Felis catus isolate Cinnamon breed Abyssinian chromosome X, whole genome shotgun sequence.